CCUGCCUGUGGGCUCAUCUUCUGGCAUCACUGCCCCAGUAGAAUUUGGGAAGGCCUCACUGCCAGGUGAAUGUACUGCCGUGGCUGCCUACAUGAACGCUGAGGCUGGCUAGCGUCAUGGUGCGAGUGGACUGACCGAUGACAUCUCUAAAGUAAAGAGACAGGUUACGUCAUAAGUAGCACAGACCUCCUCACAUGAAAGCUGUGGGUAUGCCCCAGGAG